ensembl:lncRNA
CCAGCCUCUAGGUCAAACCCCAGCCUCUAGGUCCAACCCCAGCCUCUAGGUCAAACCCCAGCCUCUAGGUCCAACCACAGCCUCUAGGUUCAACCACAGCCUCUAGGUCCAACCCCAGCCUCUAGGUCCAACCACAGCCUUUAGAUCCAACCACAGCCUCUAGGUCCAACCACAGGCUCUAGGUCCAACCACAGCCUUUAGGUCGAACCACAGUAUGUUAAGGGACUGCGGCCGUUUUAAUUCCUUUCACUCAUUAUAAUGGCAGCUGACAUGCAAUAAUGUUAAAUACAUUUAUUAAAUUUUAUUUAGUAUUUCCAUUUGCCGGUAUUACCAAAAGUCACUAUUCAUUUUGCCGGGUUGUCGAAUCAGAGCAUUUGGCUUUCUCCCCCACCAUAGAGUAUCAUCUAGGUAUGAACUGACUGAUUCAACACUCUUUCUUCUGUUAUCAUAACAUUCCAGUUAGAGGUUUCUAUUCCUGAUGUUUUG